AGUCGAACGGCAGCACGGGGGCAACCCUGGUGGCGAGUGGCGAACGGGUGAGUAAUACAUCGGAACGUGUCCUGUAGUGGGGGAUAGCCCGGCGAAAGCCGGAUUAAUACCGCAUACGCUCUGCGGAGGAAAGCGGGGGAUCCUUCGGGACCUCGCGCUACAGGGGCGGCCGAUGGCAGAUUAGCUAGUUGGUGGGGUAAAGGCCUACCAAGGCGACGAUCUGUAGCUGGUCUGAGAGGACGACCAGCCACACUGGGACUGAGACACGGCCCAGACUCCUACGGGAGGCAGCAGUGGGGAAUUUUGGACAAUGGGCGAAAGCCUGAUCCAGCAAUGCCGCGUGUGUGAAGAAGGCCUUCGGGUUGUAAAGCACUUUUGUCCGGAAAGAAAACCUCCGCCCUAAUAYGGUGGGGGGAUGACGGUACCGGAAGAAUAAGCACCGGCUAACUACGUGCCAGCAGCCGCGGUAAUACGUAGGGUGCAAGCGUUAAUCGGAAUUACUGGGCGUAAAGCGUGCGCAGGCGGUCCGCUAAGACAGAUGUGAAAUCCCCGGGCUUAACCUGGGAACUGCAUUUGUGACUGGCGGGCUAGAGUAUGGCAGAGGGGGGUAGAAUUCCACGUGUAGCAGUGAAAUGCGUAGAGAUGUGGAGGAAUACCGAUGGCGAAGGCAGCCCCCUGGGCCAAUACUGACGCUCAUGCACGAAAGCGUGGGGAGCAAACAGGAUUAGAUACCCUGGUAGUCCACGCCCUAAACGAUGUCAACUAGUUGUCGGGUCUUCAUUGACUUGGUAACGUAGCUAACGCGUGAAGUUGACCGCCUGGGGAGUACGGUCGCAAGAUUAAAACUCAAAGGAAUUGACGGGGACCCGCACAAGCGGUGGAUGAUGUGGAUUAAUUCGAUGCAACGCGAAAAACCUUACCUACCCUUGACAUGUAUGGAACCUGGCUGAGAGGUCAGGGUGCCCGAAAGGGAGCCAUAACACAGGUGCUGCAUGGCUGUCGUCAGCUC
rnacentral:rRNA from 1 species